GCUUACGGCCAUACCACCCUGAGAACGCCCGAUCUCGUCUGAUCUCGGAAGCUAAGCAGGGUCGGGCCUGGUUAGUACUUGGAUGGGAGAUCCCCUGGGAAUACCAGGUGCUGUAAGCU
rnacentral:rRNA from 1 species